rnacentral:rRNA from 1 species
UUUAACUGAAGAGUUUGAUCAUGGCUCAGAUUGAACGCUGGCGGCAGGCUUAACACAUGCAAGUCGAGCGGGGGAAGGUAGCUUGCUACUGGACCUAGCGGCGGACGGGUGAGUAAUGCUUAGGAAUCUGCCUAUUAGUGGGGGACAACAUCUCGAAAGGGAUGC